CAACCUACCUAUCAGAGGGGAAUAACCCGGCGAAAGUCGGACUAAUACCGCAUAAAACAGGGGCACCGCNUGGUGAUAUUUGUUAAAGAAAUUCGCUGAUAGAUGGGCAUGCGUUCCAUUAGGUAGUUGGUGAGGUAACGGCUCACCAAGCCGACGAUGGAUAGGGGAACUGAGAGGUUGGUCCCCCACACUGGUACUGAGACACGGACCAGACUCCUACGGGAGGCAGCAGUGAGGAAUAUUGGUCAAUGGGCGGGAGCCUGAACCAGCCAAGUCGCGUGAAGGAAGAAGGAUCUAUGGUUCGUAAACUUCUUUUGCAGGGGAAUAAAGUGCAGGACGUGUCCUGUUUUGUAUGUACCCUGAGAAUAAGGAUCGGCUAACUCCGUGCCAGCAGCCGCGGUAAUACGGAGGAUCCGAGCGUUAUCCGGAUUUAUUGGGUUUAAAGGGUGCGUAGGUGGUUUGAUAAGUCAGCGGUGAAAGUUUGCAGCUUAACUGUAAAAUGCCGUUGAAACUGUCGGACUUGAGUGUAAAUGAGGUAGGCGGAAUGCGUGGUGUAGCGGUGAAAUGCAUAGAUAUCACGAAGAACUCCGAUUG
rnacentral:rRNA from 1 species